rnacentral:rRNA from 1 species
AGAGUUUGAUCCUGGCUCAGAUUGAACGCUGGCGGCAUGCCUAACACAUGCAAGUCGAACGGAAACGAUGGGAGCUUGCUCCCAGGCGUCGAGUGGCGGACGGGUGAGUAAUACUUAGGAAUCUACCCAGUAGCGGGGGACAACUCGAGGAAACUCGAGCUAAUACCGCAUACGCCCUACGGGGAAAAGCAGGGGAUCUUCGGACCUUGCACUAUUGGAUGAGCCUAAGUCGGAUUAGCUUGUUGGUGAGGUAAAGGCUCACCAAGGCGACGAUCCGUAGCUGGUCUGAGAGGACGAUCAGCCACACUGGGACUGAGACACGGCCCAGACUCCUACGGGAGGCAGCAGUGGGGAAUAUUGGACAAUGGGGGCAACCCUGAUCCAGCAAUGCCGCGUGUGUGAAGAAGGCCUGCGGGUUGUAAAGCACUUUCAGUAGAGAAGAAAAGCCCACGGCUAAUACCCGUGAGUCUUGACGUUACCUACAGAAGAAGCUCCGGCUAACUCCGUGCCAGCAGCCGCGGUAAUACGGAGGGAGCGAGCGUUAAUCGGAAUUACUGGGCGUAAAGCGCGCGUAGGCGGCUUUGUAAGUCGGAUGUGAAAGCCCUGGGCUCAACCUGGGAAUGGCAUUCGAUACUGCAGAGCUAGAGUAUGGUAGAGGGAAGUGGGAUUUCCGGUGUACCGGUGAAAUGCGUAGAUAUC